rnacentral:tRNA from 1 species
UUAAUAGUAAGCUAUAAGCUUUUGGAUUCAUAAUUCAAUGAUAGAAAUUUU